GUGGGGAAUAUUGGACAAUGGGGGGAACCCUGAUCCAGCCAUGCCGCGUGUGUGAAGAAGGCCUUUUGGUUGUAAAGCACUUUAAGCGAGGAGGAGGCUACCGAGAUUAAUACUCUUGGAUAGUGGACGUUACUCGCAGAAUAAGCACCGGCUAACUCUGUGCAAGCAGCCGCGGUAAUACAGAGGGUGCAAGCGUUAAUCGGAUUUACUGGGCGUAAAGCGCGCGUAGGUGGCCAAUUAAGUCAAAUGUGAAAUCCCCGAGCUUAACUUUGGAAUUGCAUUCGAUACUGGUUGGCUAGAGUAUGGGAGAGGAUGGUAGAAUUCCAGGUGUAGCGGUGAAAUGCGUAGAGAUCUGGAGGAAUACCGAUGGCGAAGGCAGCCAUCUGGCCUAAUACUGACACUGAGGUGCGAAAGCAUGGGGAGCAAACAGGAUUAGAAACCCGUGUAGUCC
rnacentral:rRNA from 1 species